rnacentral:rRNA from 1 species
UGCGUAGGUGGGUUGGUAAGUCAGUGGUGAAAUCUCCAGGCUUAACUUGGAAACUGCCAUUGAUACUAUCAAUCUUGAAUACCGUGGAGGUCAGCGGAAUAUGUCAUGUAGCGGUGAAAUGCUUAGAUAUGACAUAGAACACCAAUUGCGAAGGCAGCUGGCUACACGAAUAUUGACACUGAUGCACGAAAGCGUGGGGAUCAAACA